AACGAACGCUGGCGGCAUGCCUAACACAUGCAAGUCGAACGAAGUCUUCGGACUUAGUGGCGCACGGGUGCGUAACGCGUGGGAAUCUGCCCUUGGGUGCGGAAUAACUUCUCGAAAGGGAUGCUAAUACCGCAUAAUGUCGUAAGACCAAAGAUUUAUCGCCCAAGGAUGAGCCCGCGUAAGAUUAGCUAGUUGGUGGGGUAAAAGCCUACCAAGGCGACGAUCUUUAGCUGGUCUGAGAGGAUGAUCAGCCACACUGGGACUGAGACACGGCCCAGACUCCUACGGGAGGCAGCAGUGGGGAAUAUUGGACAAUGGGCGAAAGCCUGAUCCAGCAAUGCCGCGUGAGUGAUGAAGGCCCUAGGGUUGUAAAGCUCUUUUACCCGAGAUGAUAAUGACAGUAGUCGGGAGAAUAAGCUCCGG
rnacentral:rRNA from 1 species